rnacentral:tRNA from 1 species
CUCCCUAUAGUUCAACCGGAUAGAACGGGCCCCUCCUAAGGGCCAGAUCGGGGUUCGAGUCCCUGUGGGGAGGCCA